GACGAACGCUGGCGGCGUGCUUAACACAUGCAAGUCGAACGGGAUAAUUUGAGAGCUUGCUCUUGGAGAAUCUAGUGGCAAACGGGUGAGUAACACGUAGGCAACCUGCCGACAGGAUGGGGACAACAUUCCGAAAGGAAUGCUAAUACCGAAUGAGGUCAGAGAAGGGCAUCCUUUUCUGAUGAAAGAUGGCCUCUGAAUAUGCUAUCACCUGUCGAUGGGCCUGCGUCUGAUUAGCUGGUUGGUGAGGUAACGGCCCACCAAGGCGACGAUCAGUAGCCGGUCUGAGAGGAUGAACGGCCACAUUGGGACUGAGACACGGCCCAGACUCCUACGGGAGGCAGCAGUGGGGAAUCUUCCGCAAUGGGCGCAAGCCUGACGGAGCAACGCCGCGUGAGUGAAGAAGGUCUUCGGAUCGUAAAGCUCUGUUGACGGGGACGAACGUGCGGAGAGCGAACAGCUCUCU
rnacentral:rRNA from 1 species